rnacentral:lncRNA from 10 species
AUGCAGCCUGAUAACACCUUCCCUCAGGCCUGCAGGGUUGUACCACUUGCUUCUUGACCUGGGUCUUCUCUGAUGUGGGAUGUUUCCAUAACUACAAAGUGAAAGUAGAGAAGGGGUUUCACCGUGGUCUCAAUCUCCUGACCUCGUGAUCUGCCCGCCUCGGCCUCCCAAAGUGCUGGGAUUACAAGCGUGACCCACCGCGCCCCGCCUGGAAAACUUUCAGUGAUCACCCAAGACCAUACUAUCUGAAUACAGUGCAUUAAAGGAGGUGCAGAGACUGAAGAUCUGCAUUAAGCAGCAAGUACUUCAGCCCAGGUCCAUGUUCUACGCUCUAUGCAAAUUUCAAAGCUACAUUUCUGGGACCCUUGGCAGGGUGCUCAGGCCAAGCGAGGAUACUGGGUAGAGUCACAAAUUACCCAUGUACUUCCUUUACAUUUGCUUCCACCAGGACUUUAAUUCAGUUUAAAUCAGUUCAAGGUGAAUAUCAAGGGAAACACUGAAGAGUAAAAGAAGUAACAAGAGAGUGUGGUGGGAGUUGUGUACCAAAAGCUACUGGAUUCCAAAGCUCUAGGGAACUGAAGAGCCCCAAAAUAGAAGAAGCCUGAGUACCUGAGUCACCACAUAGAAAAAAGCUGCCCACCAAUCAGACCCACCUCCUUGGACUAUUUCAUAAGAAAUAAAAUACUAUUGCAUUGUGUCUCCAAAUUUGGUUGCUGCAGCAAGUAUUACCUUAACAAAUAGACUUCUGUGGCCCUCCCAAACUGGGUCUGGGAAUGGAGAGCAAACACUUUCCUAGUAUACACACUGGUGUAUUGCUUCUUCUCUCAUAUACUCCAACCAUAGCCCAUGGAUUAUUCAUCUAGUCUAAAUGUAUUUAAAAAAAUACCCAGGUGAUAUUUAUUCUUCUAUGGGUAUUGUUUAGCACAGGGCCAGCUCUGUUCUCUGAGGAAAUCAAAGUCUUUGUCUUGUGUUUCAAAAGUAUGCUUUGACAUUUAAAAUUGAGUAUUGCCUAGAAAAUUUUUCUUUGCAUUCUCAUUGCCAUAAUCCUUCUGAGGCAACUGGAUGCUUCAGGCCAAAUGGAAGUUAGGGAGGAUAUCUUGUAGUUAUGGUAGUUUGAGUAGAGGAGGAGAUAAACUUCAAUGGAGAUCAUAUCUUCUUACCUCCUCUAAUAGAACAUCAGGAGGGACUUGCUAUGGAACUAUACUAAAAGUCUAAGAAUCAAUAUUUACUUUUCUUGAGAGAGUGC